AUGGAAACGGCUUUUAAAACCAAAUUUGGUCUAUAUGAAUGGUUAGUCAUGUCUAUGGGAUCUCAAGCACCUAGCACUUUUAUGUGUAUGAUGCACUAUGUUCUUCGCAAAUAUAUUGGCAUUUGCGUUGUGGUAUACUUUGAUGAUAUACUUGUGUUUAGUCAAUCUCUUGAAGAUCAUGUCAAACAUCUUAGAGAUGUCUUGCAAGUUCUUAGAAACAAGCGACUUUACGCUAACAUGGAAAAAUGCACUUUUGGUGUUGAUAAGCUUGUUUUCUUGGGCUUUGUUGUCUCUUCUAAGGGUGUUCAAGUUCAUGAGUUGAUUGACGCUAUUAAAACUUGGCCACAACCAACCAAUUUGCAACAAGUGCGUAGUUUCCUUCGCCUAGCCGGUUUCUAUCAUCGAUUUGUUAAAGAUUUUAGCACUAUUGCAUCACCAUUACAUGCUUUGAGUAAGAAGAAUGCAUCCUUCAUAUGGGGACCCUCCCAAGCUACCGCAUUUGAUGAGCUUAAGAAUUUGCUUACGAAUGCUUCAUUAUUUGCCUUACCUAAAACUUUUGAAGUGCAUUGCGACGCUAGUGGUAAUGGCAUAGGUGGUGUGUUAAUGCAAGAGAAGCGACUCAUUGCUUAUUUUAGUGAAAAACUUUCCGGCGCACAACUUAAUUAUACCAUAUAUGACAAAGAGUUGUAUGCUUUGGUGAGAGUUUUGCAUAGUUGGGAACAUUAUCUUCGACCCCAUGAAUUUGUCCUACAUACGGAUCAUGAAACGCUUAUAAGUACCUUAAAAGGUCAAACCAAGUUGAAUAAACGUCAUGCCAAAUGGAGUGAAUUCAUUAAGUCUUUUCCUUAUGUCAUCAAGUACAUUAAGGGUAAAGAAAAUGUAGUAGCGGAUGCUCUUUCCUGCAAGUGCAUGUUAGUUACUCAACUUGAAUUGAAUGUUAUUAGAUUUGAGCACAUUAAAAGCUUGUAUGCGCAUGAUACUUCGUUUGCGAUUCCUUAUGACAAAUGUCAAGCUAACAAUUUUUGGGAGCGAUAUUAUCUCAAGAAUGGCUAUCUUAUGCGGACUAACAAACUUUCCGAUACCCGAGUCUUCUCUUCGUUUGUUGCUUUUGCAAGAAGCUCAUGGUGA
rnacentral:rRNA from 1 species